rnacentral:rRNA from 1 species
AUGAUCUUGCGUGUGCGUAGGAUUUUUUUUGAAAUUACUACGUUCCCCAACACAAAAAACCAAGGAGGAAUGGGAUUCCGUGAUAUCCACUGUUUCAACCUGGCUCUACUUGCAAAACAGGCACGACGUCUCCUUGAUAAUCCUGACUCCUUGUGUGCUACUAUUCUAAGGGCAAAGUACUAUCCUAAUGGUGAUUUGCUGAACUCCAAGCCAAAGCAUGGUGCUUCCUUCACCUGGCAAAGCAUUAUGGCAGGCAUCACUACUCUCAAGCGAGGUUAUAUUUGGCGAGUGAGGGAUGGACAUAGUAUCAAUAUUUGGGAAGAUGCCGAUCCAAAUUGUGCCACUAGGAAGAUUGUGACUCCUAGGAGGGGGCAUUUAUUCUCAAAAGUUGUAGAUUUGAUUGACCCGGUCUCCAAUGAUUGGGAUGAGGACCUGAUUAGACAAACUAUGUGGACCAUUGACGCACAACGGAUUCUUUCAAUCCCAAUUUCGCAACAUAAUAUGACAGAUUUUAUUGCCUGGAGUUAUACGAAAAAUGGUCUGUUUUCGGUACGGUCUGCUUACUCUGUGGAGUGGAACUAUCAGUAUGGGAGCAAACUAAAAUAUUUCAACGGGAUGGGACGGAGCACACGUAACCCUAUAUGGUGUCAGAUAUGGAAGUUGUCUUGUCCGACUAAAGUCAAAAUAUUUUUAUGGCGAACACUACAUGGUACUCUUCCAUGUCGGGCAACACUCACUAAUAGACACAUGAAGAUCUCACCCUUGUGUCCUACAUGCUCCCAGGGUGUAGAAGAUACAAAGCACUUGCUUUUCCUAUGUAGAAAAGCGAAAGAGGUUUGAAAAAGGCUAGGAUUGGAUAUGAUUAUUGAGAGAGCUUGUGAGAUUGAUCGUGCUGGGGAGGCAAUACUGAAAUACUUAUUACUCCUUCCAGAUCAAGAUCUGCGCAUUAUGGGAUACGAAAAUGUUCGAGAAAUGGUAGCUAUCUCUACUUGGUAUCUAUGGUGGGAAAGAAAGAAAUUAGUGCAUAAGGAAUUCACUCAAAAUGCGACCCAGAUCUCAAUGGGGAUCAUAGCUCUUACAUAUAAUUUUGUAAAUGCUUCAUCUUCAAAUGCGUCCAUAAAAAAAGGGGUUGGCAAUGUCCUCCUAGGGGCUUUGUGA